CCUCAAUCAGGUAGACUACCCGCUGACUUAAGCAUAUCAAUAAGCGGAGGAAAAGAAACUAACAAGGAUUCCCCUAGUAACUGCGAGUGAAGCGGGAAAAGCUCAAAUUUAAAAUCUGGCAGCUUUCAGUUGUCCGAGUUGUAAUCUAGAGAAGUGUUAUCCGUGUUAGACCAUGUACAAGUCUCCUGGAAUGGAGCAUCAUAGAGGGUGAGAAUCCCGUCUUUGACAUGGACUACCAAUGCUUUGUGAUGCGCUCUCAAAGAGUCGAGUUGUUUGGGAMUGCAGCUCAAAAUGGGUGGUAAAUUCCAUCUAAAGCUAAAUAUUGGCGAGAGACCAAUAGCGAACCAAGUACCGUGAGGGAAAGAUGAAAAGAACUUUGGAAAGGGAGUUAAACAGUMCGUGAAAUUGCUGAAAGGGAAACGCUUGAAGUCAGUCACAUUGGCUAGAAAUCAACCUUGCUUUUGCUGGGCGUACUUUCUAGUGAGUGGGUCAGCAUCAAUUUUGACCAUUGGAUAAAGUUCAGAGGAAUGUGCAUCUUGGAUGUGUUAUAGCCCUUGUUGCAUACAAUGGUUGGGAUUGA
rnacentral:rRNA from 1 species